rnacentral:rRNA from 1 species
GACGAACGCUGGCGGCGUGCUUAACACAUGCAAGUCGAACGGAGUGGCGAACGGGUGGGUAACACGUGGGUGACCUGCCCUGCACUUCGGGUUAAGCCUGGGAAACUGGGUCUAAUAACGGAUAGUGUGGCAUGGGCUCGCGGCCUAUCAGCUUGUUGGUGGGGUAAGGGCGUACCAAGGCGGCGAAGGGUAUCCGGCCUGAGAGGGUGGGCGGCCACAUUGGCACUGAGACAUGGCCCAGGCUGCUACGGGAGGCAGCGGUGGGGAAUAUUGCACAAUGGGCGGAAGCGUGAUGCAGGGACGCCGCGCGGGGGAGGACGGCCUCGGGUUGUAAACUCCUUUAACCAGCGACGCGGUAGAUGGAGAAGAAGCACCGGCUAACUACGUGCCAGCAGCCGCGGUAAUAC